CGGGCCAAAUACGGCCCGAUAUCCAUUUUUAAUUGGCCCGCAGCGUGCAAAACUCCCUCCCCCCUCUCAGCAUCCAUAAAAAAAAAAAGUUUCCUACCACGGCGUCAUUGAGGGGCGGAACCUACAGUGCUUCACAGAAGCUACAGAAGCUUGUCCUAAACUCCGCCCUCCCCUCCCCGUGACUGGAGUUUAGUGUAGUGCGGGGAGGGAGGGGGAGCCAGUAAACAAACUGAAAGCAUGGCUCCAACUGCUGCCUAACCUGGCCUGGAUUUCCUGCAUGUUCUCAUGAACUAUGAUGAACAACAUGGAGCAUCAGUAGUUAUGGGACCUUAUAGAACUAAUGGAUGUUAUCAAGAAAAAACAUCAUGUGGAGAUGAAAAACAACUCAGUAAUAGAGAAGGGAGUGUGGCAGGAAAACUUUGUUCACCAAGUACAGAAUUCAUCCGCGAAAUUUUAGGGAAAUGCAUGAUCCAUGGCUCUGUUGACAGUUUGGAUGUAACAAAGACUCAUGUGGCAGUUUUAAGAAAAGGCAGUUUAGAAGUGAAACCCCAUCAGUGCUAAUAUGGUGAUUGUGACGGUGGGAGAAACAGGAUCAGGCAGAACAACACUCAUCAGUGGCCUCAUUCAUGAUAUUGUUGUGUGGAAUGGGGAGAUGCUACUGAUUCAGGCUCAUUGUGCAAAGACUGCAGAGAGGUCCACAGGGAAACUACAGAGAUCAACAUUUAUCAUUUAUUGUACAAUGACCCACUGGGAGAUUUGUCAUUCACAUACUGACGGUAUCAAAUCUCACAGAAAAUCCCUUGUCCUUAGCUAAGACUGUAAUUGCCACAAGUAAAUGACACUGCUCACAGUGAUUGGGCAAAAAUAGGGGAAUUGUGGGAAGACUCCAACGCUGAGUAAAAUACAUAAGUACAAUGGGAGUGUCACUGAUCUGGCCAAAUUAGCUACAAGAGAGGGGGUUCAUCAAUGCACAUUCCCCAAUGCCCUUUUCACUAGUCAUUUAGUAUCUGUGCAAGUGCUUGUAUUUACUAACAGGAGUUCUUAAUUUACAAAGUUAUGAUCAUAAGAUUGACAAACCCCAUAGCCAUGUCAUGGUAACCCCCAUAUGGUGGUCCCUAAGUAUUUACCUAAAAGCGUCUCUGUGUUUCCAAGAAAAGAAUUCAAUUCAUUUAAUUUAAUAGACAACCAUAUCAAUGAAUACAAAAAGUUUGAAGUGAAUAUAGAGGGGCUGCAACAAUACAAGAAAUAUGCACCUGAGAGAGCUGGUGUAACCCAGUCUGGAAUUGAUUUAGUUGAUGACAGUGACAUUUUAUGGAAGAGAAAACAAUGAAAACAGAACAAAAUGUCCAGAGACUGCAGUGACAGUGAAUAAACUUUCCAUGUGUCAGUCUGUCUGUAUUUCCACCCCAGGUGUGGGGCAAUUAGCAAAACAAAUGACAAUGACAAACAUAGGAACAAUUUUUGGUCCAGGGAUCUUGAGAUUCCAGGCAAAAAAAAAGCCCAUUGAGAUUAUUUUCUAAUAACAGAGUUUAUCAGUUUCACAAAUGAAUGAAUGACUUGUCACCUGUGGGUGUUUACUGACAUCUCACCUGAAUACAAGAUUCCCUAAGCUUCUAGGAACCCUCAGCAUCUUUAGGAAUAUUCCCAAUUAACUUAAUUUCUUACAGAAUUUAUUUCAAACCUUCAUAGUUCAUGCCUAGAGUUUCUCUUCUCCCUACUUCACACAAUAGUCACAUCUCCAGCCCAUUCACUCACUUGGACUGGAAACAACCGUGGUCAACAAGGACCUUCACUCAAACCCAAUGCAGCUACAUGAGAAGCACAAGAAGCCCUUCUCAAUGUAUGUGCUCUCCAUUCACUUGUAUGGGUUUUUAGGGAAAUAUUUAUGAAGGGGGUGAACGUGAGAAUUAACUUUUUGAUAAAUGCAACCCUGAGAAUCCCAUACAAGUGAAUAGAGAGCUGGAGAAUACCUUUCACCUUUUGGUAAAAAAUUGCCCCAAAUAUUGAGUGAUUUCCCCUCAGGAUUAUUUUAGAUUAUUUCUGUUCAGAAGAGACACUGGGAUUUCAGAAAAGUAAACAAAUGAUUAGAAAAAAAACAAAAGUGUGAAAACUGAUAGUAUUCUGAAUCUGUUAUAAUCUAUUGUAAUGUGUGAUUGUGAGUUUUAUCAUCCUGACAUGUGGAUAUUGACAUGUAUUAUAGUGUAUAUGUCAGAGUUCUUAAACCUUGUACAGGCAUAUUUACUAAAACUGUAUUUUUUAAUCUUAAAAUAAAAAAAUGAGGGGAUGAACUGUCUUCAGGAAUAUC